CAGCAGUGUCCUUAGUUGGUUCUGAAGGGCAUUUUGCACAGUGUUUAGCAAUGAUUUGGGCCAUAUUACUUCUCAUUCUCCAAGUCUGGUCCUCCAAGUUUUUAGGCAAUUUUGUAUUUAUUUUCUGCUAUAAUCAGCCCAAACCCAUUUCUUUUGCUCUGGAACUUAGAAGUGAUCUAGUCAACUUACAUGGUAAGCAAUCAUCUAUAGCAAAAAUUUAGAGUAAAAUUAGACCAAGAUUGAUUGAACAUUCAUGUUUCAAACUGCAGAAAAUCUUGGAGUUUUUUUAGACAAUAAUAUUAAUGUUACUACUGCUAAUAAAAGAUAGCUUUAUUGAGAAACUACUGUAUGUCAUGAUCUGUAUUAAGCCUUUAUAUGAAAAAAAAAAGCCUUUAUAUGCAUUAUUUCCUGUAAUUCAAGGAAGAUAUAGGAACUCAAAUCUGAUGAAAAUAAGCCAGAUGAAAAAACAUGGCCUAUAAUCUAGUGGAGGAGGAGGAGGAUGAUGACGAUGACAAUGAUGAAGAUUAUGAUGACAAUGAUGUUGGUAAUGAUGAUAAUGAUGGCAAUGACAAUGAUGAUGACAAUGACAAUAAUGAUGAUUAUGAUGAUGACAGUGAUGUUGACAAUGAUGAUGAUGACAACAUCUGGAAUGUGGAGAAUCACAGUUAGGGUCAACCGCCUAUAUAACAGAGCUUGUUUGAAGUGUCUCAAGUCCCAGGCUCUAAUGGACCCCAACUCUGAUAAAUCACCUUCAUGCUCAGAAGGAAAGAUAAGACUUAUGCAACUAUUGCUUAUAGUGAUAACCUCUACAUCUCCUGGAAUUAGCCUCAACUUAGUGUGAGGAAACAGGCACAGAAUUUCAAGUGGAGGAAGCUCUGGUAACUGGCAUGACAGUUGUGGCUCUGAAGACUUAGAGCAGCACAUGCUCAGCACUGAUUUCAUCCUGCUGUGGACUAGCAUCAAGGGUUGCUGGCUCCUUCUUCUCCAGAUAUUAAGGUUUAUGAGUGUAGAAACAUGAACAGCUAUUCUUGUUGGUACCUGCAAACAUUUGCUGAAUGGAAUUUAGCUUUUCAGAUAGUGGUCUCCAUUUCCCUGUAAAAUUAUUACAUUUUAAUAAGUUAGGAUUGUACUAAAUUGAAACAAAAAUCACUAUACAGCUCACCAGAAUGUUUAGCACUUUUCUUCUUUGAGUUGUAAAACACAUCAGCAAUUUGUUUUUUAUUUUCAUUAAUUCAGUGCAUCGCCAUGACUCAAGAUAGAGAUAAGGAACAAUCAUAUGACUUCUCUUAGCCUGAUAGUUACUGAUUUUAAUAGUUCCAAAAUAUUGAUUGCUAAUUUGUCUAAAAAUUUUACUGAUAAAGUAGUUGACUUUUCAAUUAUCUUAUUUGCUCUCAUGUAGCUAUUCCUCUGCUCAAUGCAAUAUGAACAUCAAACUUUUUAACUGGUUCUUAUUUUCA
rnacentral:lncRNA from 1 species